rnacentral:rRNA from 1 species
UACAGAGGGUGCAAGCGUUGUUCGGAAUUAUUGGGCGUAAAGGGCGCGUAGGCGGUGCUGUAAGUCUGUAGUGAAAUCUCUGGGCUCAACUCAGAGUCUGCUAUAGAAACUGCAGUGCUGGAGUGUGGGAGAGGUGAGUGGAAUUCCCGGUGUAGCGGUGAAGUGCGUAGAUAUCGGGAGGAACACCUGUGGCGAAAGCGGCUCACUGGACCACAACUGACGCUGAGGCGCGAAAGCUAGGGGAGCAAACAGG